rnacentral:snoRNA from 1 species
CUUUCGGAUGAUUCCCUUUGCUGUUCUCACUGAAUCUCAAUUCUGUGGAAAACAUCAAUCAAUUCACCUUGGAGAGCUGAUUU